UACUGUAAUUCCGGUUAUCGGCGUACUAUGGGAUAAGGGACUAAAUCCAGUUGCAAAUGCAGAAGAAGCAGAAUCUAUCGUCCUAUUAAAAUGUUUACAAGGUGGUAGAUGCAACUGCUGGCGAACCUUGGGGUCCACAUGGUACCUCAUUGGCAGAAAUUGCACAGGCGACAAUAAAAAUUCUCCGGAUGACAAAUGGUUAUGAGUGUUCUGGCACUUCUGUGGACAAGAUUAAUUGAAACCGACCGCAAUUGGCGUCAGGUAUACAAGGUAAACAACAGUAGUUAUCUGCAGUAUGGAGGAAUAAAAUGUAGCAGUUUCUCAUAGCUUGUUAGUUUGGAUCUUGUAUCUACUGUUGCAUCGCAUGAUGUAUCUGGUUUAUGUAGCUACUAGUUGCUUUUGUAUGGACAUCUUGUCAUAAGUCAUAAAACUCGAUGUAACUU